rnacentral:piRNA from 1 species
UGUUACCGUCUUGUUUUCGGU